rnacentral:ncRNA from 1 species
CCCUGAGAGAUCCUUGCCAGGUGGCAUCAUGCGGGUGGGAGAGGGGCUGUAGGGAGGGGUGUUGCAAGUCCUAAACCAAGCUCAGGAAGGACGGAAGCCUCCCGCGAAGCAGAAGGGCAAAAGCUCGCUUGAUCUUGAUUUUCAGUAUGAAUUCAGAUCGUGAAAACAGGGCCUCGCGAUCCUUCUGGCUUGUUGGGUUUUAAGCAGGAGGUGUCAGAAAACUUACCGCAGGGAUAACUGGCUUGUGGUGGCCAAGCGUUCAUAGCGACAUCGCUUUUUGAUCCUUCGAUGUCGGCUCUUCCUAUCAUUGUGAAGCAGAAUUCACCAAGCGUUGGAUUGUUCACCCACUAAUAGGUUGGACAUUAGAAAGAACUUCUUCACCGUAAGAGUCGUU